GGAUGCGAUCAUACCAGCACUAAAGCACCGGAUCCCAUCAGAACUCCGAAGUUAAGCGUGCUUGGGCGAGAGUAGUAAUAGGAUGGGUGACCUCCUGGGAAGUCCUCGUGUUGCAUUCC
rnacentral:rRNA from 2 species